UAGCAUAUCAAUAAGCGGAGGAAAAGAAACCAACAGGGAUUGCCUUAGUAACGGCGAGUGAAGCGGCAAUAGCUCAAAUUUGAAAGCUGGCGUCUUCGACGUCCGCGUUGUAAUUUGUAGAGGAUGCUUCGGCGAAGACUCCUGCCUAAGUCCCCUGGAACGGGGCGUCAUAGAGGGUGAGAAUCCCGUAUGUGGCGGGCAGUCUAAGCCAUGUGAAGCUCCUUCGACGAGUCGAGUUGUUUGGGAAUGCAGCUCUAAAUGGGAGGUAAAUUUCUUCUAAAGCUAAAUAUUGGCCAGAGACCGAUAGCGCACAAGUAGAGUGAUCGAAAGAUGAAAAGCACUUUGGAAAGAGAGUUAAAAAGUACGUGAAAUUGUUGAAAGGGAAGCGCUUGCAACCAGACUCGCUCGUAGUUGCUCAGCCGGCCUCUUGGCCGGUGUACUCUUCUACGAUCGGGCCAGCAUCAGUUCGGGCGGCAGGAUAAAGGUGUCGGGAAUGUAGCACCCUUCGGGGUGUGUUAUAGCCCGGCGCGGAAUGCUGCCAGCCUGGACUGAGGAUCUCGCUUCGGCAAGGAUGCUGGCGUAAUGGUUGUAAGCGGCCCGUCUUGAAACACGGACCAAGGAGUCUAACAUCUAUGCGAGUGUUUGGGUGUCAAACCCAUGCGCGUAAUGAAAGUGAACGGAGGUGGGAACCCCUCACGGGGUGCACCAUCGACCGAUCCUGAUGUCUUCGGAUGGAUUUGAGUAAGAGCAUAGCUGUUGGGACCCGAAAGAUGGUGAACUAUGCCUGAAUAGGGUGAAGCCAGAGGAAACUCUGGUGGAGGCUCGCAGCGGUUCUGACGUGCAAAUCGAUCGUCAAAUUUGGGUAUAGGGGCGAAAGACUAAUCGAACCAUCUAGUAGCUGGGUC
rnacentral:rRNA from 1 species